rnacentral:rRNA from 1 species
GACGAACGCUGGCGGCGUGCUUAACACAUGCAAGUCGAACGGAAAGGCCCUGCUUUUGUGGGGUGCUCGAGUGGCGAACGGGUGAGUAACACGUGAGUAACCUGCCCUUGACUUUGGGAUAACUUCAGGAAACUGGGGCUAAUACCGGAUAGGAGCUCCUGCUGCAUGGUGGGGGUUGGAAAGUUUCGGCGGUUGGGGAUGGACUCGAGGCUUAUCAGCUUGUUGGUUGGGUAGUGGCUUACCAAGGCUUUGACGGGUAGCCGGCCUGAGAGGGUGACCGGCCACAUUGGGACUGAGAUACGGCCCAGACUCCUACGGGAGGCAGCAGUGGGGAAUAUUGCACAAUGGGCGGAAGCCUGAUGCAGCAACGCCGCGUGCGGGAUGACGGCCUUCGGGUUGUAAACCGCUUUCGCCUGUGACGAAGCGUGAGUGACGGUAAUGGGUAAAGAAGCACCGGCUAACUACGUG